CCACAGGACAUCUCCUUAAUCGGAGAGUUCCCGUCGGGGACAUUGGUGACAGGUGGGGCAUGGUUGUCGUCAGCUCGUGUCGUGGGAUGUUGGGUUAAGUCCCGCAACGAGCGCAACCCUUGUCUUUAGUUGCCAUCAUUAAGUUGGGCACUCUAGAGAGACUGCCAGGGAUAACCUGGAGGAAGGUGGGGAUGACGUCAAAUCAUCAUGCC
rnacentral:rRNA from 1 species